rnacentral:lncRNA from 1 species
UCACUAGGAAGUGCCAGACAGUGGGCGCAGGUCAGUGGGUGCAGCGCACCGUGUGCGAGCCGAAGCAGGGCGAGGCAUUGCCUCGCUCGGGAAGCGCAAGGGGUCAGGGAGUUCCCUUUCCUAGUCAAAGAAAGGGGUGACAGACGGCACCUGGAAAAUUGGGUCACUCCCACCCGAAUACUGCCCUUUUCCGACGGUCUUAAAAAACGGUGCACCAGGAGAUUAUAUCCUGCACCUGGCUCGGAGGGUCCUACGCCCACGGAGUCUCGCUGAUUGCUAGCACAGCAGUCUGAGAUCAAACUGCAAGGCGGCAGCGAGGCUGGGGGAGGGGCGCCCACCAUUGCCCAGGCUUGCUUAGGUAAACAAAGCAGCCGGAAAGCUCCAACUGGGUGGAGCCCACCACAGCUCAAGGAGGCCUGCCUGCCUCUGUAGGCUCCAUUGAGAGAAGAAGGCUUCAGACGAUCAAACUACUCCGAGCUACAGGAGGAAAUUCAAACCAAAGGCAAAGAAGUUAAAAACUUUGAAAAAAAUUUAGAUGAAUGUAUAACUAGAAUAACCAAUACAGAGAAGUGCUUAAAGGAGCUGAUGGAGCUGAAAGCCAAGGCACGAGAACUACGUGAAGAAUGCAGAAGCGUCAGGAGCCGAUGUGAUCAACUGGAAGAAAGGGUAUCAGCGAUGGAAGAUGAAAUGAAUGAAAUGAAGUGAGAAGGGAAGUUUAGAGAAAAAAGAAUAAAAAGAA